GACGAACGCUGGCGGCGUGCUUAACACAUGCAAGUCGAACGGAAAGGCCCUGCUUUUGUGGGGUGCCCGAGUGGCGAACGGGUGAGUAACACGUGAGUAACCUGCCCUUGACUUUGGGAUAACUUCAGGAAACUGGGGCUAAUACCGGAUAGGAGCUCCUGCUGCAUGGUGGGGGUUGGAAAGUUUCGGCGGUUGGGGAUGGACUCGCGGCUUAUCAGCUUGUUGGUGGGGUAGUGGCUUACCAAGGCUUUGACGGGUAGCCGGCCCGAGAGGGUGACCGGCCACAUUGGGACUGAGAUACGGCCCAGACUCCUACGGGAGGCAGCAGUGGGGAAUAUUGCACAAUGGGCGGAAGCCUGAUGCAGCAACGCCGCGUGCGGGAUGACGGCCUUCGGGUUGUAAACCGCUUUCGCCUGUGACGAAGCGUGAGUGACGGUAAUGGGUAAAGAAGCACCGGCUAACUACGUG
rnacentral:rRNA from 1 species